rnacentral:rRNA from 1 species
GUGGAUUAGAUACCCUAGUAGUCCACGCCCUAAACGAUGCGAACUGGAUGUUGGGAGCAACUAGGCUCUCAGUAUCGAAGCUAACGCGUUAAGUUCGCCGCCUGGGGAGUACGGUCGCAAGACUGAAACUCAAAGGAAUUGACGGGGGCCCGCACAAGCGGUGGAGUAUGUGGUUUAAUUCGAUGCAACGCGAAGAACCUUACCUGGCCUUGACAUCCACGGAACUUUCCAGAGAUGGAUUGGUGCCUUCGGGAACCGUGAGACAGGUGCUGCACGGUUGUCGUCAGCU